UUGAGCUAAUUGAUUUGAGUAAAGGUGAGCAAUCAUGGCAGGGCAAGAAUCAUUGUCGUCCUCUUCUUCCUUUAGCUAUGGAUGGAAAUAUGAUGUUUUUCUUAGCUUCAGGGGUGAAGAUACUCGUCACGGUUUUACUGGCAAUCUCUACAAAGCUCUUCAUGACAGGGGAAUCCACACCUUCAUUGAUGAUGAGGAGCUUCAAAGAGGAAAAGAAAUCACAUCAUCACUUAUCAAUGCAAUUGAAGAAUCCAGGAUUGCAAUCACUGUGUUCUCUAAGAACUAUGCUUCUUCUUCAUUUUGCUUAGAUGAACUUGCCCAUAUCCUUCACUUAAUCAAGGAAAAGGGUCGGUUGGUUUUGCCUGUUUUUUAUGACGUUGACCCUUCUCACGUGCGAAAUCAGAGGGGUAGCUAUGAAGAAGCAAUGGCUAGUCAUGAAGAGAGAUUUAAGGACAACAAGGAGAAGGUGCAGAAAUGGAGGAUGGCUCUGCGUCAUGCAGCUGACUUGUCUGGCUUUCAUUUCAAAUUCGGGAAUGAGAAUGAAUAUGAGUUUAUCGGGAACAUUGUUAAAGAAGUCUCCAACAAGAUUAAUCGUGCUCCUCUACAUGUUGCGGAUUAUCCAGUUGGAUUGGAAUCUAAAGUGCUAGAAGUAAAAUCACUUCUCAAUGUCGGAUCUGAUGGAGUCCACAUGAUAGGGAUCCAUGGUAUUGGGGGAAUAGGAAAGACAACAGUUGCUCGAGCCGUUUAUAAUGCGAUUGCUGAUUCAUUUGAUGCUUUAUGUUUUCUUGAUAAUGUGAGAGAAAAUUCAAUUAAGCAUGGAUUAGAACAUCUUCAAGAGACACUUCUUUCUGAAAUAGUUGGGGAGAAAGAUAUUAAGUUUGCAAGCGUCAAUAAAGGAAUUCCAAUAAUAAAGCACAGGCUCCACCGAAUGAAAGUUCUUUUGGUUCUUGAUGAUGUUGACAAACUGGAGCAGUUGCGGGCAACUGUUGGAGGGCUUGAUUGGUUUGGUUCUGGCAGCAAAAUCAUCAUUACAACUAGGGACAAGCAUUUGCUAACAAGUCAUGGGGUUGAGGAAACUUAUGAGGCAGAUGGUUUGGAUAAUAAAGAAGCUCUUGAAUUACUGAGUUGGAAUGCUUUUAAAACUGACAAAGUUGAUUCGAGUUAUGUGGACAUUUUAAACCGUGCAAUAACUUAUGCUUCUGGCCUUCCACUAGUAUUGGAGAUAAUAGGUUCCUACUUGUUUGGGAAAAGGAUAGAAGAAUGGGAAUCUGCAUUAGAUCAGUAUAAGAGAAUUCCUAAUAAAGAGAUCCAAAAGAUACUUAAAGUGAGUUUCGAUUCUUUGGAGGAAUAUGAGAAGAAAUUUUUUCUUGACAUUGCUUGUUGCUUCAAAGGAAAUCAUUUAGCACAUAUCAAAAAAUUACUUUAUGCUCAUCACGGUUUCUGCCCAGAAUAUGGUAUCGGAGUGUUAAUUGAAAAAUCUCUCAUAAAGAUUAUGCAUGGAGAUGUAAUAUUGCAUGACCUGAUAGAGGACAUGGGUAAAGAAAUUGUCCGACAGGAAGCACCAGAAGAGCCUGGCAAACGUAGUAGAUUAUGGUCUCCUGAUGAUAUAGUUCAAGUUUUACAAGAUAAUACGGGAACUAGUAGUAUUCAAAUAAUAAUGCUGGAUUUCCUCAAAUUUGAAGAAGUAGUUGAAUGGGAUGGAAAUGCCUUCAAGGAGAUGAAAAACCUCAAAACACUUAUUAUUAGAAAAGGUUGUUUUUCUGAAGGUCCCAAACAUCUUCCAAAUAGUUUGAGAGUACUGGAAUGGUGGAGAUAUCCUUCACCAUCUUUACCAUCUAAUUUUCAUCAAAAGAAACUUGUGAUACUGAAGUUACCCCAAAGUCACUCUAUUUCAAUUCAUUUGCUCAUGUCAAAUAAGGAGUUUGUGAAUAUGAGACUUCUGAAUUUUGAUUACUGUAAAUGUAUAACAGAGAUACCUGAUGUGUCUGGUGUCCCAAAUUUAGAAGAAUUAUCAUUUAGAUUUUGUGAGAAUUUAAUUAAAAUUCACAAAUCGGUUGGAUUACUGAAUAAAAUUAAAAUCUUGAACGCUGAUGGUUGCGAGAAGUUUAGGAGUUUUCCACCCAUCAGGUUGACCUCUCUUGAAAAACUCCAGCUUUCAUUUUGUCCCAGUCUUGAGAAUUUUCCAGAAAUAUUAGGAAAGAUGGAAAAAAUAACAGAGCUUAGUAUUUUUUACACUCCCAUACAAGAACUGCCAUUUUCAAUUCAAAAUCUCACUCGGCUUCAAAGACUACAGCUGACACGUUAUGGAGGAGUUGUUGAGUUACCAAGGAGCAUUUCAAUGAUGCGAGAACUUAAGGAGUUGAGUGUUGAGGGAUGUGAGGGAUUGCUUAUAUCUAAACAGGACGAAGGUGAUGCACAAGUGAGCUCAUUGGUGUUUGAGAACACCUUGGAAAUUAUCAUUUGGCGAUGCAAUAUAUCAGACAAAUUCAUAAGAAAAGGUCUCCCUUUGUUUGGCAAUGUGCAACAGUUAAGCCUAGCCUAUUGUAAUCUCACAAUUCUUCCUGCAUGCAUCAAAGAAUGUCUCUUUUUGAGAGAAAUUCUAUUAUAUUGUUGUGAGAAUUUCCAGGAAAUUGGAGGGGUUCCACCCAACUUAGAAACAUUCACUACAAGAGAGUGCACAUCCUUGAAAGAUUUAGACCUCACACUUUUUCCUGAAUGUUUGAUGAGACUUGUUUUGCAUAAAUGUCAGAAUCUUCAAGAAAUUAGAGGGAUUUCACCCAACACAAGAACUUUCCUUGCAACAGAAUGCCCGUUCUUGACUUCCAAGUGUAGAAGCAUGUUACUGAAUAAGGAAUUGCACGAGAAGGGUGCAGACAAAGUGUUUCUUUUGCAAGGAACAAGGAUUCCAGAGUGGUUUGGGUAUAGUAUCAAUGGACUGUCAAUUUCUUUCUGGUUUCGUAACAAGGUCCCUGCGAUAUCUCUAUGUUUUGCUUGUGGAUUCGAUGGAAACUAUGCCACUUAUAGGCUCAAUAUUGAAGUCAACGGCAUUUCAAAAGUUCUUUUUGAUAAAGGAGAGGGUUUCUAUUCUGGUUGCGCAGCAGGGUUUUAUACAGUUCUGUUUGAUGUGAAACAGGAAAAUUUAUUACUUGAUACUGUUCUUCUAGAAGAAAAUAAAUGGAAUUAUGUGGUGUGUACUAUAUCAAAGAACGAAGAAAACAAAAAAACUUCGUUUUGCCAACAAAGUGGAAUCCAUGUAUUCAAACAAGAAAGCAGCAUGGAGGACAUUCAAUUCACCGAUCCACUGUUGCUGGAAGAAGAGCAUAGAUUGGUGGACAUGAAGAUUCUCAAAGACAAUUUAUGCAGCAUCUAAAAAAUUUUGCUUCAUUGCCUUUUUUGAAAACAAUAAAUUUGGGACAGGGCAUAGAGUUGCUUUCAUUGCGUCCACCUCCAGCUUUGAAGAAUAUUGUGAAUUGGCAUUCAAAUUCAAUGGUAUCAAAGCUGAGAAGUAGCACUCACAAUUUCCAAGCCUGUGAAAUUCAUGUGGACUUUGACAAUGAAGUCUGUGAACCUUGUUGUUGUUGUCCUGCUCCUUCAAAAGUGCCUUUGAAUUCAGCAGUGUCAUACUUUGUUAGUGGUGCUGCCAGUGAAGA